CAUUUCCUACGGGGGGCAGCAGUGGGGGAUAUUGCACAAUGGGGGGAACCCUGAUGCAGCGACGCCGCGUGGGUGAAGAAGCGCCUCGGCGCGUAAAGCCCUGUCAGCAGGGAAGAAAAUGACGGUACCUGAAGAAGAAGCCCCGGCUAACUACGUGCCAGCAGCCGCGGUAAUACGGGGGGUGCAAGCGUUGUCCGGAAUCAUUGGGCGUAAAGAGUUCGUAGGUGGCACGUUAAGUCUGGUGUUAAAGGCGGAAGCUCAACUUCCGUAGGGCACUGGAUACUGGCGAGCUUGAAUGCGGUCGG
rnacentral:rRNA from 1 species